rnacentral:rRNA from 1 species
UACAGAGGGGGCGAGCGUUGUUCGGAAUUACUGGGCGUAAAGGGCGCGUAGGCGGCCUUCUAAGUCGAACGUGAAAUCCCCGGGCUCAACCCGGGAACUGCGCCCGAUACUGGGAGGCUUGAAUCCGGGAGAGGGAUGUGGAAUUCCAGGUGUAGCGGUGAAAUGCGUAGAUAUCUGGAGGAACACCGGUGGCGAAGGCGGCAUCCUGGACCGGUAUUGACGCUGAGGCGCGAAAGCCAGGGGAGCAAACGGG